rnacentral:rRNA from 1 species
CGGCAACAGCUCAAAUUUGAAAUCUGGCGUCUUCGACGUCCGAGUUGUAAUUUGCAGAGGGCGCUUUGGCAUUGGCAGCGGUCCAAGUUCCUUGGAACAGAAUGUCAAAGAGGGUGAGAAUCCCGU